rnacentral:rRNA from 1 species
UACGUAGGGUGCAAGCGUUAAUCGGAAUUACUGGGCGUAAAGCGUGCGCAGGCGGUUGUGUAAGACAGAUGUGAAAUCCCCGGGCUCAACCUGGGAACUGCAUUUGUGACUGCACGGCUAGAGUGCGGCAGAGGGGGAUGGAAUUCCGCGUGUAGCAGUGAAAUGCGUAGAUAUGCGGAGGAACACCGAUGGCGAAGGCAAUCCCCUGGGCCUGCACUGACGCUCAUGCACGAAAGCGUGGGGAGCAAACAGG